GACGAACGUUGGCGGCGUGCUUAAUACAUGCAAGUCCACUGAAGCAGUGGUAGCAAUAUCGCUGUGGAGGUGGCGCACGGGUGAGUAACACGUAGGUAAUCUGCCUUCAGGUCUGGCAUAACUCCGGGAAACCGGGGCUAAUAGCAGAUGAUGCAGCGGCUCGACAUCGAGACAGUUGUUAAAGCUAUGGCGCCUGAAGAUGAGCCUGCGUCUGAUUAGCUAGUUGGCGGGGUAACGGCCCACCAAGGCAACGAUCAGUAGCUGGUCUGAGAGGAUGAUCAGCCACACUGGAACUGAGACACGGUCCAGACUCCUACGGGAGGCAGCAGUAAGGAAUAUUGCUCAAUGGGAGAAAUCCUGAAGCAGCAACGCCGCGUGAGGGACGAAGGGCUUUGGCUUGUAAACCUCUGUAGUGAGAGAAAAAAAUCCCAAUCUUUGGGACAUGAUGGUAUCUCAAAAGUAAGCCCCGGCUAACCACGUG
rnacentral:rRNA from 1 species